UCCCCUAGUAACUGCGAGUGAAGCGGGAAAAGCUCAAAUUUAAAAUCUGGCGGUCUUUGGCCGUCCGAGUUGUAGUCUGGAGAAGUGCUUUCCGCGCUGGACCGUGUACAAGUCUCUUGGAACAGAGCGUCAUAGAGGGUGAGAAUCCCGUCUUUGACACGGACUACCAGUGCUUUGUGAUGCGCUCUCAAAGAGUCGAGUUGUUUGGGAAUGCAGCUCAAAAUGGGUGGUAAAUUCCAUCUAAAGCUAAAUAUUGGCGAGAGACCGAUAGCGAACAAGUACCGUGAGGGAAAGAUGAAAAGCACUUUGGAAAGAGAGUUAAACAGUACGUGAAAUUGCUGAAAGGGAAACGCUUGAAGUCAGUCGCGUUCGCCAGGACUCAGCCUUGCUUUAGUGAGGUGCAUUUUCUGGUUGACGGGCCAGCAUCGAUUUUGGUUGUCGGAUAAAGGCAGGGGGAAUGUGGCAUCUUCGGAUGUGUUAUAGCCCUCAGUCACAUACGACGGCUGGGAUCGAGGACCGCAGCACGCCUUUAUGGCCGGGGUUCGCCCACGUUCGUGCUUAGGAUGCUGGCAUAAUGGCUUUAAACGACCCGUCUUGAAACACGGACCAAGGAGUCUAACAUGCCUGCGAGUGUUUGGGUGGAAAACCCGAGCGCGUAAUGAAAGUGAAAGUUGAGAUCCCUGUCGUGGGGAGCAUCGACGCCCGGACCUGACCUUCUGUGAUGGAUCUGCGGUAGAGCAUGUAUGUUGGGACCCGAAAGAUGGUGAACUAUGCCUGAAUAGGGUGAAGCCAGAGGAAACUCUGGUGGAGGCUCGUAGCGAUUCUGACGUGCAAAUCGAUCGUCAAAUUUGGGUAUAGGGGCGAAAGACUAAU
rnacentral:rRNA from 1 species